UCUCCGUUGGUGAACCAGCGGAGGGAUCAUUAUCGAGUUUAUAACUCCCAAACCCUAUGUGAACUUACCACUUGUUGCUUCGGCGCGCGCUUCGGCGCCGCCGAGGACACUUAAACUCUUUGUUUUUAUAAGCAUCUCUGAGUGGCCGAAAGGCAAAAUACAAAUGAAUCAAAACUUUCAACAACGGAUCUCUUGGUUCUG
rnacentral:misc_RNA from 1 species